UAAAAAAUAGGAAAUAGCAAGAAAUUAAUAUUUUUUAUGUUCAUGAUAAAAAAAAUUGGCUGCCAAAUUAUAACCAAAGUCAUUAUAACCCUUCAAAGGUAGUUUGUCGCAUUAAACCAGCUCUUUCUGUUUUCUUAAUAUUGUAUUAUAAAUAAAGUUCUAAACAGUGACAUUUUUUUGUAACAGAUAUUGGACAAUGUUGAACAGAGUUGAAGUCCUGGAAUCUCGGUCAACUGCAGAUAGCAGCAUGGCGUAAGGCAGACGUCUUGUUUCCCAGUCCAGUUUUAGUCAGGUAUUCUUGGUGGUAUGAAACUGCAGUCAACACAGGUUUUUAGAGGUCUGCAAGUACAGAGUUUUAAAUUGUGAAACAAAAUCUCUAACCAGAUCACAGUGUGUGUGUGUGUGUGUUAUGCUGUGCUGAGAUAUUGCUGUGACAUAUGGUGGAUUAAGGUCCACAACCUGGUAUGCAUAAUUUGUAUUUGUAACCUUUAAUUAAUUGCAUAGCAAUGUACAUUUGAGUUUACACACUUCCUGAAGUAUAUGUAUUUUAGCUGUAAUAUGCCACUACACACACAUGUAUAUGUUUGAGCCUGAGAUGUCAUUAUUUGAUUAAGAGAUAUGCUUAAUAUGAACUGUACGGUAUUUUGUGUAACAACUUUGUGUCUUACAUGAUUGUAAGUACUUAUAGUAAGUAUUGUUCAUAUGUAUUUUCAGGAUGCGUUAUACUAAAUACUAUGGAGAUACUAAUAUUAAAAUA